GAUGAACGCUGGCGGCGUGCCUAAUACAUGCAAGUCGAGCGAACAGACGAGGAGCUUGCUCCUCUGACGUUAGCGGCGGACGGGUGAGUAACACGUGUAGAACCUACCUAUAAGACUGGGAUAACUUCGGGAAACCGGAGCUAAUACCGGAUAAUAUAUUCAACCGCAUGGUUCAAUAGUUAAAGACGGUUUUGCUGUCACUUAUAGAUGGAUCCGCUCCGCAUUAGCUAGUUGGUAAGGUAACGGCUUACCAAGGCAACGAUGCGUAGCCGACCUGAGAGGGUGAUCGGCCACACUGGAACUGAGACACGGUCCAGACUCCUACGGGAGGCAGCAGUAGGGAAUCUUGCGCAAUGGGCGAAAGCCUGACGGAGCAACGCCGCGUGAGUGAUGAAGGUCUUCGGAUCGUAAAACUCUGUUAUUAGGGAAGAACAAAUGUGUAAGUAACUAUGCACGUAUUGACGGUACCUAAUCAGAAAGCCACGGCUAACUACGUG
rnacentral:rRNA from 1 species